rnacentral:lncRNA from 10 species
AAGGAGCCCUUCCCUUCACAGGGAAGCCUCUCAAAUGGCAACAGAAAGUGGUUGGUUUCUUUGAAGAGCAUUUGAACUGAGUGAAUUUUCAAAAAGCGUGGCAUUGACAGAACAAUGAAAGUCCCAGGAUAAAGUCCAGGCCAGUUGCCAUGACAGACGGCAUCUGUUGUUGACAGAAACAUGGAGCCAGGCUGAAACUCCGGCGGCAGGAGGGCUGCGCACCUGGGCAGGGCAGUGCCGAGCACAGCUCCCAGUUUGGGGAUAAUGGUGAGGUGAUGCCAAGGAACAUGGUGGAUGCAGCUCUGCCUCCAGAGUCAGCCAGCAGCAAGAACGAGCCAUGCACCAUCACUGCUGCAGUGACCGGACUGCACCCCGCAGAGCUCUGAUCGCCUCUCUGGGGGCUGCCGUAAGAAAACACCUGGGUGGUCUCAGACCCCAGCACUCGGGUGGCUCCUCUGAAAGAGAUGUUGUUCCCGACUCCCAGCCUGUGGGUAGAGAAGGUGCCAACCCCACGAGAGUCUCCAGGCCCUGGGCCUGCUUGGACCUAAUCUGCUUACAGUUCAUGCAGGUUCUCUAUCCAGGCCUUGCCCUCCUCCCAGCUGUUUCCUAGUCUCCUUCAUCCUGCAGGAGCUGCUUUUGGUCUCACUGUACUUUGUUGAGUAGGAGGCAUAGCAGCCUUGAGAGCUAGAAGGGUCCCCAGCCAUCACCUGGGCCAAGUCCCGCCGUGGACAGGUGAGUGUCUACUGUUUUGUAGGGGCAGAGACUCAGCCCAGGGUCCCACGGGCUGCUAGCACUGGCGUGAGGCAGACCAUUCACCUUUGCCGCUGCACGGGUCAUAUCCUCCCCUCUCAGCCAACGUGCUGGCCCAGCCUGGACUGGCCCAGCCCCUCUUCCCUGCUUCUGGGGUCCUGUUCACCCCACGAGCCCUCUCUCCAGCUCUUCUUGGAUAAAGCCCCAUGCCCAACAUGGUCCCAGGCACCGGCUUUUGGGGCAGUCCUGGGAUCGCCAGCAGAUGGAGCUCAAGGGGGUCAUGCAGACCCCACCCAGGCCUGGCUCCCAGGGGCUCCCAGGAGGGAACUUCCUACCCAUUGAAAUGCAAACGCUGGAAUUCCAAGAAGCACUUCAGAUACAUACAAGUCCUGAUUGUGUUUGAUUCCUCCUCUGGAUGGAAGGCUUCCCUCUCUGAAGUCAGACGACAAAGCAGAGGCCUGGGACUGGUGGUAUAACCCAGAGACCCUGCCUGCCUGGCACUGGUGGUACAGCCUGGGACCCUGCCUGCCUGGCACCGGUGGUGUAGCCAGGGACCCUGCCUGCUUGGCACUGGCAGUGUAACCCAGGGACCCUGUCUGCCUGGCACUGGUGGUGUAGCCGGGGACCCUGCCUGUGUACCCUCUGUCCAAGUCUUGGGGUGCCCCUGUAUUGUGGUUUGAAUGUUUGUCUCCACAAAUUCAUAUGGUGAAACCCUACCCUCCAGGUGAUCGUACUAGAAGGUGGGGCCUUUGGGAGGUGAUUAGGUCACGAGGGUGGAGCCGCAUGAAAAGGAUUGGUGCCCUUAUAAAAGAAGACUGGAGGCCGGGCGCAGUGGCUCAUGCCUGUAAUCCCAACACUUUCGGAGGCUGAGGUGGGUGGAUCAUUUGAGGUCAGGAGUUCGAGACCAGCCUGGCCAACAUGGUGAAACCCCAUCUCUACUAAAAAUACAAAAAUUAGCUGGGCAUGGUGGCAGGCACCUGUAGUCCCAGCUACUCGGGAGGCUGAGGCAGGAGAAUCACUUGAACCUGGGAGGCAGAGGUUACAGUGAGCUGAGAUCGUGCCACUGCACUCCAGCCUGGGAGACAAAGCAAGACUCUGUCUUAAUCAAUCAAUCAAUCAAUCAAUAAAAGAAGAAGCCUGGGGUCAGACACAGUGGCUCAAGCCUAUAAUCCCAGCACUUUGGGAGGCCCAGGUGGGAGGAUCACUUGAGCCCAGGAGUUCAAGACCAGCAUGGGCUACAAAGAGAGAUCUCGUCUCUACAAAAAAUAUUUUAAAAAUUAGCCAGAUGUGGUGGUGUGUGUCUGUAGUCCCAGCUACUCCGGAAGUUGAGAUGGGAAGAUUCCUUGAGCCAGGGAGAUUGAGGCUGUAGUGAGCUGUGAUUGGGCCACUGCACUCCAGCCUGGGCAACAAAGUGAGACUCUGCCACUACAAAAAUAAAAAUAAAUAAUAACAAUAAUAAUAAAAGAGGGUCCGAGAGAUACCCUUCACCCCUUCCACCAUGUGAAAUUAUAGAGAAAAUAUGAUCAUCUAUGAAGUGGGCUCCACUCUCUCCAGACGCCAAAUCUGCUGGUGCCUCGAUCUUGGACUUCCAGCCUCCAGAGCCGUGAGAAAUAAAU